rfam:Rahnella aquatilis CIP 78.65 = ATCC 33071, complete genome.
GGGCCGUUAGCUCAGUUGGUAGAGCAGUUGACUUUUAAUCAAUUGGUCGCUGGUUCGAAUCCAGCACGGCCCA